UGGACCUGGAGCAAGAGGAGAAAGUUCUUUAGCCAUUUUCCUCCCGUUUGCGGUUAACAAGAAGAUGCGAUCGCGCAUCGCCGGCAUGCUGUUUGACUGAAUGUCGUAAUGUACUUCUGCCAAAAAUGAUAUGUUCUNNNNNNNNNNCCCUUCCGUUUGCGGUUAACAAGAAGAUGCGAUCGGGCAUCGUCGACAUGUUGUUUGACUGAAUGUCGUAAUGUACUUCUGCCAAAAAUGAUAUGUUCUUUUCCUGUUGUUCACAAUAUUCACAAAGACUGUUUUUCUCCAUUUUGCAACCUGUUUAGAACAGCUAGAGAAAACAAUCUAGCUAUAUAUAUGUAAGUCGCCUGAUUUCUAAAUGUGGGUAAGUCAAUUUUGAUCGUUGAUUUCUC
rnacentral:lncRNA from 1 species